rnacentral:rRNA from 1 species
AGGAACCUGCCUUGGAGAGGGGAAGAACAACUCCCGAAAGGAAGUGCUAAUACCGCAUGAUGCAGUUGAGUCGCAUGGCUCUGACUGCCAAAGAUUUAUCGCUCUGAGAUGGCCUCGCGUCUGAUUAGCUAGUAGGCGGGGUAACGGCCCACCUAGGCGACGAUCAGUAGCCGGACUGAGAGGUUGACCGGCCACAUUGGGACUGAGACACGGCCCAA